rnacentral:rRNA from 1 species
UGGGGAAUAUUGCACAAUGGGCGCAAGCCUGAUGCAGCCAUGCCGCGUGUGUGAAGAAGGCCUCGGGUUGUAAAGCACUUUCAGCGAGGAGGAAGGUGGUGAACUUAAUACGUUCAUCAAUUGACGUUACUCGCAGAAGAAGCACCGGCUAACUCCGUGCCAGCAGCCGCGGUAAUACGGAGGGUGCAAGCGUUAAUCGGAAUUACUGGGCGUAAAGCGCACGCAGGCGGUUUGUUAAGUCAGAUGUGAAAUCCCCGGGCUCAACCUGGGAACUGCAUUUGAAACUGGCAAGCUAGAGUCUCGUAGAGGGGGGCUAGAAUUCCAGGUGUAGCGGUGAAAUGCGUAGAGAUCUGGAGGAAUACCGGUGGCGAAGGCGGCCCCCCUGGACGAAGACUGACGCUCAGGUGCGAAAGGCGUGGGGGCAGCAAACAGGAUUAGAUACCCUGGUAGUCCACGCUGUAAACGAUGUCGAUUUUGGAGGUUGUGCCCUUGAGGCGUGGCUUCCGGAGCUAACGCGUUAAAUCGACCGCCUGGGGAGUA